rnacentral:rRNA from 1 species
GAGUUUGAUCAUGGCUCAGAUUGAACGCUGGCGGCAUGCUUUACACAUGCAAGUCGAACGGAUCUAGGGGCUUGCUCCUAGGUUAGUGGCGAACGGGUGAGUAAUGCAUCGGAACGUACCGUGUAGUGGGGGAUAACCCGGCGAAAGUCGGAUUAAUACCGCAUACGAUCUACGGAUGAAAGCGGGGGACCUUAGGGCCUCGCGCUAUACGAGCGGCCGAUGUCGGAUUAGCUAGUUGGUGAGGUAAAGGCUCACCAAGGCGACGAUCCGUAGCGGGUCUGAGAGGAUGAUCCGCCACACUGGGACUGAGACACGGCCCAGACUCCUACGGGAGGCAGCAGUGGGGAAUUUUGGACAAUGGACGCAAGUCUGAUCCAGCCAUGCCGCGUGAGUGAAGAAGGCCUUCGGUUGUAAG